AUGGCGAGCAGAAGAGGCGCGUACUUGUCGACGAUCACCUGGUCCUUGGGCACCUCGCUAGGCAUGUCGACGGCUGGCCGGAGCGGCCUCGCGGCGGAGGCUUCUCGGAGGCUGACGACCAGGAGAAGCAGCACGAGGCAUGUGGCCGCACGGCUGCUUGGGGCGCUGGAAGAAGAAGCCAUUAAUUGUUUCGUGGGCGACGACGGGGAGAUGAUUCGAUGGAGGGAACUUGGCAGUGAGCAACGAGAGAUGUUGGAGAAGGGAGACGGUCUGCUUUUUGUGUUUAUGUUAUCUGUGUUGGGUGUGGAGCUGCUCAUAUAUAGCGAUGUGUGGUGGUGUCGAGUGUUGGGUGGAAGGGGUCAAACGGGGAGGCUGAGUGAGGUGGAACUGGAAGGGAAGGGGCUGCGAAUCCUCUCAUCAGUCCUCGUGUGUUGA
rnacentral:rRNA from 1 species